rnacentral:rRNA from 1 species
AAAUAGAAGUGAAAAUGUCAGCUUAAGUAGCAUAAAUAUUAGUAAAAAUCUAAUACUCCGAAAGCUAAAAGGUUUCCUAUGAAAGGAUAUACCACGUAGGGAAAGUCGGGGGCUAAGAUUUAGAUCUAAGAUAUAAUCGAUGGAUAAAAGGUUUAAUUCCUAUACCAUAAUAUAUUUCUGACAAAUAGUGACACAUACAGAUAUAGUUUAUUUUUAAGAUAUAGUUACUUUAUAUACUAUGUUGUAUAGCUAGAAAAAUGUAUCUGUUAUAAUAUAUAUUAUGCCCGUACCAAAACUGACACAAGUAAGCAAAUAUAAAUGUAUUAAGGAGUACGAAAUAACUUUCUCUAAGGAACUCGGCAAAAUAAUCCUGUAACUUCGGGAGAAAGGAUGCCCAAAAGGGUUGCAAUGAAAAGAUCCAAGCGACUGUUUAUCAAA